UACGUAGGGUGCAAGCGUUGUCCGGAAUCAUUGGGCGUAAAGCGCGUGUAGGCGGCCCGGUAAGUCCGCUGUGAAAGUCGGGGGCUCAACCCUCGAAAGCCGGUGGAUACUGUCGGGCUAGAGUACGGAAGAGGCGAGUGGAAUUCCUGGUGUAGCGGUGAAAUGCGCAGAUAUCAGGAGGAACACCCAUUGCGAAGGCAGCUCGCUGGGACGUUACUGACGCUGAGGUGCGAAAGCGUGGGGAGCAAACAGG
rnacentral:rRNA from 1 species